UACGUAGGGUGCAAGCGUUGUCCGGAAUUAUUGGGCGUAAAGAGCUCGUAGGCGGUCUGUCGCGUCGGCUGUGAAAACCCGGGGCUCAACCCCGGGCCUGCAGUCGAUACGGGCAGACUAGAGUGUGGUAGGGGAGACUGGAAUUCCUGGUGUAGCGGUGAAAUGCGCAGAUAUCAGGAGGAACACCGGUGGCGAAGGCGGGUCUCUGGGCCGAUAUCGACGCUGAGGAGCGAAAGCGUGGGGAGCGAACAGG
rnacentral:rRNA from 1 species